CGCGGGGUGGAGCAGUUCGGUAGCUCGCUGGGCUCAUAACCCAGAGGUCGCAGGUUCAAAUCCUGUCCCCGCUA
rfam:Streptomyces scabrisporus strain NF3 contig1, whole genome shotgun sequence.